rnacentral:rRNA from 1 species
AUUGAACGCUGGCGGCAGGCCUAACACAUGCAAGUCGAACGAGUGGCGGACGGGUGAGUAAUGUCUGGGAAACUUCCUGAUGGAGGGGGAUAACUACUGGAAACGGUAACUAAUACCGCAUACCAUCGGAUGUGCCCAUAUGGGAUUAGCUAGUAGGUGGGGUAACGGCGCACCUAGGCGACGAUCCCUAGCGGGGCUGAGAGGAUGACCAUCAACACGGGAACUGAGACAAGGUCCAGACUCCUACGGGAGGCAGCAGGGGGGAAUAUUGCACAAUGGGCGCAAGCCUGAUGCAGCAAUGCCGCGUGUAUGAAGAAGGCCUUCGGGUUGUAAAGUACUUUCAGCGGGGAGGCGUUACCCGCAGAAGAAGCACCGGCUAACUCCGUGCCAGCCGCCGCGGUAAUUC